rnacentral:tRNA from 2 species
GGGUGAUUAGCUCAUUUGGUUAGAGCGCUUGCUUGACGUGCAAGAGGUGACUGGUUCGAAUCCAGUAUUGCCCACUG